UGUUUUGAGAUUUGUAUUUGUUUCUGGCGUUUUAUUUUGAGGAAUCCCGAUUUUCUUUUGAUUGAUAUUUAUAACAUUUUGGUUCAAAAAUGGCUAUUUGGCAAUGGUUUUUUGGUGUGGGAGUUGGUAUGGCAAUUAGCGCGUUAGCUUUCCUUUUGACCAAGCCUAUAGCUCAAGAAAACAAACCACGUAAUAGAAGACAUGAUUAUACAGAUGAUGAUGAUAUUUGUGCAAUUUGCUGUGAGUCCCUAAAUGACAGGCCUCAAAAUACCGCGUACUUAAAAUGUCUUCACCGUUUCCACGAUAAAUGCAUUUCAGAACUACGGUUCCAUGGUGUUGAUAGAUGUCCAAAAUGUCGUGAAAUAAUAUAGAUAGAAAUUCAAAUAAGCAAUAAAAAUGUUUCAUUUUUUUUUUGUUUUUUUUUUUCAAUUAUUUUAUGAAUUUUUAGUUUUGUGUCCACUUAAACUAUUAUAAUAAAAACUAAAUUAGAUUUAGGCUUCUUUUUUUAAAAAAGCUCUACCCAAUUCAAGUUUGCCUCUGUAAUAAUUGCCUGCUUUGAAGAUGAAAUGGCAUGCCACAAAUCUUGUGAAUAGUAAAAUGCCAGCAGCACAAUAAUUAGCGCACAACCACCGCAAAGAAAUGAGUUUGGAGUUGUCACCAAGUUUUAAUUCCUGAGGCGUUUUAAUGACUUCCUAAAUAAUUAUGUAUUUUUGUAACACCAUCCUAGUGACUUGUAAGCAAAUCACUCAAAUAUACCAAAUUUUAAUUAAAUCAA
rnacentral:sRNA from 1 species